UUGGGUAUAGCAUAAGAUUUAAUGCGGCUUAUUUACACUAAGUUGAUAGUUAGUGGUGACUUACCCUAA
rnacentral:tRNA from 1 species